UGCCACAAUGAUGACAUUUUAUUUGCUACUCUCGACUGUGAGAAUGACGAGACGUAUUACCACCAUUACCCAAACUGAGGCA